UCAUCCUCUUUUAUUGGCCUCAUUCCUUCUCUCCAUCAUUUAUCUCCAAUUCCAUUCUUAGCCCUUGUCCUCUACCUUUGGCUUCAUUCCUAUUAUCCAUUAUUUAUCUCCAGUCCCAUUCUUAGCCUCUGUCCUUUGUCUUUGGCCUUGUUCCUAAUCUCCAUCAUUUAUCUCCAAUCCCAUUCCAAACACUCAUCUUCUAUCUUUCGCCUUGUGCCUAUUAUCCAUCAAUUAUCUUCAGUCCCAUUCUUAGCCUUUGUCCUUUGUCUUUGGCCUCGUUCCUAAUCUCCAUCAUUUAUCUCCAAUCCUAUUCCAAACACUCAUCCUCUGUCUUUCACCUUGUGCCUAUUAUCCAUCAUUUAUCUCCACCUCCAUUUCUAGCCCUCGUCCUCUUUCUUUGGCCUCAUUCCUUCUCUCCAUCAUUUAUCUCCAAUCCCAUUCUUAGUCCUUGUCUUCUAUAUUGGCCUCAUUCCUAUUGUCCAUUAUUUAUCUUCAUUCCAUUCUUAGCCUUUUUCCUUUGUCUUUAGCCUGAUUCCUACUCUCCAUCAUUUAUCUCCAGCCCCAUUCUAAGCCCUCAUCCUUUGUCUUUCACCUCAUUCCUAUUGUCCAUCAUUUAUCUCUACCUCCAUUCUUAGCCCUCGUCGUCUUUCUUUGGCCUCAUUCCUACUCUCCAUCAUUUAUGUCCAAUUCCAUUCUAAGCCCUUGUCCUUUGUCUUUCGCCUCAUUCCUAUUAUCCAUCAUUUAUCUCCAGCUCCAUUCUUAGCCUUCGUCCUUUGUCUUAGGCCUCGUUCCUACUCUCUAUCAUUUAUCUCCAGCCCCAUUCUUAGCCCUCAUCCUUUGUCUUUGGCAUCAUUCCUAUUCUCCAUCAUUUAUCCCCAACUCCAUUCCUAACCCUUCUCCUCUUUCUUUGGCUUCAUUCCUAUUAUGCAUCCUUUAUCUCCAGUCCCAUUCUUAGCCUUCGUCCUUUGUCUUUAGCCUCGUUCCUACUCUCCAUCAUUUAUCUUAAGCCCAUUCUUAGCCCUCAUCCUUUGUCUUUGACCUCGUUCCUAUUGUCCAUCAUUUAUCCCCAACUCCAUUCCUAUUGUCCAUCAUUUAUCCCCAACUCCAUUCCUAGCCCUUGUCCUCUUUCUUUGGCCUCAUUCCUACUCUCCAUCAUUUAUCUCUAAUCUCAUUCCUAGCCCUUGUUCUCUGUCUUUGGCUUCGUUCCAAAUUUCCAUCAUUUAUAUCCUGCCCAUUCCUAGCCCUCAUGCUUUGUCUUUGGCCUCGUUGCUAUUGUCGAUCAUUUAUCUCCAACUCCAUUCUUAGCCCUCGUCCUCUUUCUUGGAGAUCAUUCCUACUCUCCAUCAUUUAUCUGCCAUCCUAUUCUUAAUCCUUGUCCUUUGUCUUUGGCCUUGUUCCUAAUUUCCAUCAUUUAUGUCCAGCUCCAUUCUUAGUCCUCAUUUUCUAUCUUUGGCCUCAUUCAUAUUGUCCAUCAUUUAUCUCAAACUCUAUUCUUAGCCCUCGUCUACUUUCUUUGGCCUCAUUCAUAUCUUCCAUCAUUUAUCUCCAAUCCAAUUCUUAGUCCUUGUCCUCUGUCUUUGGCCUCAUUCCUAUCAUCCAUCAUUCAUCUUCAACCCCAUUCAUAGCCUCCGUCCUUUGUCUUUGGCUUCGUUCCUAAUCUCCAUCAUUUAUCUCAAGCCCCAUUCCAAGCCCUCAUCCUCUGUCUUCGGCCUUGUUCAUAAUAUCCAUCAUUUAUCUCCACCUCCUUUCGUAGCCCUCCUUGUCUUUCUUUGGACUCAUUCCUACUCUCCAUCAUUUAUGUCCUAUCCCAUUCUUAGCCCUUGUCCUUUGUCUUUGGCUUCAUUCCUAUUAUCCAUCAUUUAUCUCAAGCCCCAUUCCAAGCCCUCAUCCUCUGUCUUCGGCCUUGCUCCUAAUAUCCAUCAUUUAUCUCCACCUCCUUUCGUAGCCCUCGUCAUCUUUCUUUGGCAUCAUUCCUACUCUCCAUCAUUUAUGUCCUAUCUCAUUCUUAGCCCUUGUCCUUUGUUUUUGGCUUCAUUCAUAUUAUCCAUCAUUUAUCUCAAGCACCAUUCUUAGCUUUCGUCCUUCGUCUUUAGCCUCGUUCCUACUCUCCAUCAUUUAUUUCUUGCCCCAUUCCAAGCCCUCAUCCUCUGUCUUUUGCCUCGUUUCUAUUGUCCAUCAUUUAUCUCCACCUCCAUUCCUAGCCCUUGUCCUCUUUCUUUGGCCUCAUUCCUGCUUUCCAUCAUUUAUUUCCAAUCCCAUUCUUAGCCCUUGUCCUCUGUCUUUGGCCUCAUUCCUAAUUUCCAUCAUUUAAGUCCAGCCCCAUUCUUAGCCCUCAUCCUUUGUCUUGGGCCUCGUUUCUAUUGUCCAUCAUUUAUCUCCAACUCCAUUCCUAGCCCUCGUCCUCUUUUUUUGGCUUCAUUCUUAUUCUCCAUCAUUUUUCUCUAAUCCUAUUCUUAGCCCUUAGUUUUUGUCUUUGAUCUCAUUCCUAAUUUCCAUCAUUUAUGUUCAGCAAUAUUUUUAGUUGUCAUCCACUGUCUUUGGCCUCAUUCCUAUUGUCCAUCACUUACAUACAACUCAAUUUCUAGCCCUCGUCCUCUGUCUUUGGCCUCAUUUCUAUUAUCCAUCAUUUAUCUCCAGCUCCAAUCUUAGCCUCCGUCCUUUGUGUUUGGCCUCAUUCCUACUCUCCAUCAUUUAUCUCCAGUCCCAUUCCUUGCCCUCAUCCUUUGUCUUUGGCCUUGUUCUUAUUGUCCAUCAUUUAUCUCCAACUCCAUUCUUAGCCCUUGUCCUCUUUCUUUGGCCUCAUUCCUACUUUCCAUCAUUUAUCUCCAAUCUCAUUCCUAGCCCUUGUUCUCUGUCUUUGGCUUCGUUCCAAAUUUCCAUCAUUUAUGUCCUGCCCCAUUCCUAGCCCUCAUGCUUUGUCUUUGGCCUUGUUGCUAUUGUCGAUCAUUUAUCUCCAACUCCAUUCCUAGCCCUCGUCCUCUUUCUUGGGUCUCAUUCCUACUCUCCAUCAUUUAUCUGCCAUCCCAUUCUUAAUCCUUGUCCUUUCUCUUUGGCCUUGUUCGUAAUUUCUAUCAUUUAUGUCCAGCUCCAUUCCUAGUCCUCAUUUUCUAUCUUUGGCCUCAUUCAUAUUGUCCAUCAUUUAUCUCAAACUCUAUUCUUAGCCCUCCUCUAUUUUCUUUGGCCUCAUUCAUAUUCUCCAUCAUUUAUCUCCAAUCCCAUUCUUAGUCCUUGUCCUCUGUCUUUGGCCUCAUUCCUAUCAUCCAUCCCUUAUCUCCAACCCCAUUCAUAGCCUCCGUCCUUUGUCUUUGGCUUUGUUCCUAAUCUCCAUCAUUUAACGCAAGCCCCAUUGCAAGCCUUCAUCCUCUGUCUUCGGCCUUGUUCCUAAUAUCCAUCAUUUAUCUCCACCUCCUUUCGUAGCUUUGGUCGUCUUUCUUUGGCGUCAUUCCUACUCUCCAUCAUUUAUGUCCUAUCCCAUUCUUAGCCCUUGUCUUUUGUUUUUGGCCUCAUUCCUAUUAUCCAUCAUUUAUCUCAAGCACCAUUCUUAGCCUUCGUCCUUUGUCUUUAGCCUCGUUUCUACUCUCCAUCAUUUAUCUCCAGCCCCAUUUUAAGCCCUCAUCCUCUAUCUUCCGCCUCGUUCAUAUUAUCUAUCAUUUAUCUCCACCUCCAUUCUUAGCCCUUGUCCUCUUUCUUUGGCCUCAUUCCUUCUCUCCAUCAUUUAUCUCCAAUCUCAUUUUUAUUCUUGUCCUCUGUCUUUGGCCUUAUUCCUAUCAUCCAUCAUUUAUCUCCAACCCCAUUCUUAGCCUCCGUCCUAUGUCUUUGGCCUGGUUCCUAAUCUCCAUCAUUUAUGUCCAGUCCCAUUCAAAGCCCUCAUCCUCGGUCAUUGGCCUUGAUCAUAUUAUCCAUCAUUUAUCUCUACCUCCUUUCCUAGCCCUCGUCCUUUUUCUUUGGCCACAUUCCUACUUUCCAUCAUGUAUCUCCAAUCCCAUUCUUAGCCCUUGUCCUUUGUAUUUGGCCUCAUUCCUAUUAUCCAUCAUUUAUCUCUAGCCCCAUUCUUAGCCUUUGUCCUUUGUCUUUAGCCUCGUUCCUACUCUCCAUCAAUUAACUCGAAUUCCAUUCUAAGCCUUCAUCCUCUGUCUUCCGCCUCGUUCCUAUUGUCCAUCAUUUAUCUCCACCUCCAUUCUUAGCCUUCG
rnacentral:lncRNA from 1 species